GACGAACGCUGGCGGCGUGCUUAACACAUGCAAGUCGAACGGAAAGGCCCUGCUUUUGUGGGGUGCUCGAGUGGCGAACGGGUGAGUAACACGUGAGUAACCUGCCCUUGACUUUGGGAUAACUUCAGGAAACUGGGGCUAAUACCGGAUAGGAGCUCCUGCUGCAUGGUGGGGGUUGGAAAGUUUCGGCGGUUGGGGAUGGACUCGCGGCUUAUCAGCUUGUUGGUGGGGUAGUGGCUUACCAAGGCUUUGACGGGUAGCCGGCCUGAGAGGGUGACCGGCCACAUUGGGACUGGGAUCCGGCCGAGACUCCUACGGGAGGCAGCGGUGGGGAAUAUGCACAAUGGGCGGAAGCCUGAUGCAGCAACGCCGCGUGCGGGAGGACGGCCUUCGGGUUGUAAACCGCUUUCGCCUGUGACGAAGCGUGAGUGACGGUAAUGGGUAAAGAAGCACCGGCUAACUACGU
rnacentral:rRNA from 1 species